UCCGCCGCGCUUGGGAGGGCGGUGACCGGAGGACGCUGGCGAGUAGCGGAGGAGCGAGGAGACUUAGCCGCCACUGCGCCGCCGCCACCCAGAAUUGCUGGCUUUGUUCUAGCUCUCUCCCUCUGCCCACCUAGCUGCUCCCAUAAUGCUGUGGGUUUUGCAUCCCUAAACCCCUUUGGUCCUCAGUCCGGGGGUCCCGUAUACCCGGAGACUACAGGUGUGGGUCCCCCGCCCUCCUGAAUCCCGCAGGUCCAGGACCCGCUGACUCCAGCUCUUUCCAAAAGACGAUGUCACACACAGCCUCUCUAGCUGUCUUACUGAAGAUUCAGGAUUCUAAGGCUUGGAAGAACGAGCAAGUCAAUGUGGGGAGGAAGAAAAUCAUAAAUUAA
ensembl:antisense 1700101I19Rik RIKEN cDNA 1700101I19 gene